CCCAGCACUGGGCUGGGUCCUCUGAAAGAAAUCCCGUAAAACCUCAAGGAGCUCACAGGCUGGAAUAUUCUUUCACAGGCAAGCAAGGACCCAGGGCUGUGCUCAAGCUGGGCUACAAGGGCUGGACCAGGGUCUGGGGUUGGGCAUAGGUUGGGCUGACUUGCAGUUGCUGGCCUUGGAGAAAGGAGAAGCAAAGCCACUGUGAUUGGAGGAAGGAGAUUCAGGAAGCAAGGACAGCUCUUAGUGUCAGUUCCAAUGGUUGGGUAUGAGAAAGAGGGAGUAAAAACUGGGGCUUCAAGAAGGCAGGGACUAUAGUUGUAUUUCCUCCCAGUGUAUUCACAGUGCAUCUGGUUCACCAAAGACUCUCAAGGUGACUUCAUCCAUGGCGGCUGUGUGGCAGCGAGCUACUUGCGCAUCUCUUCUGUUCCGUGAGGUCAUGUUGGCAGCUUGAAAUUGAUCAAGUGGGAAGCAUUUACAUCACAGAAAUUGAUGUUUAAAGGAGAUGAUAAAAAUGCUGCAACCCAGAUAAUGAUCACCUUACUCUUCAAAAAUACUGCCCAAGUUCUUUGUUCAAGAUGCCAAGAACCUGGAUACCCUCCACUGGUAACAAAUAUGACUUUGUUUUUAGCAAGCAACUUUGCAGUGUAAUUAAGUUAAGGAUCUUGAGAUGAGAUCAUCUUGGAAUAUCUGGGUGGGCCCUAAAUCCAAUGACAAGUGUCCUCAUAGGAAGGGAAGAUACACACAGAGGAGAAGGUGGUGUGAAGAUGGAAGCCAAGACUGUUGAUACCAGUUGGAGAGCACCAAGAACUACCCGCAGCCACUGAAAGCUAGGAGAGAGGCAUAGGACUGUCUCCUUCAGACCCUCCAGAAAGACCAAACCUGCCCGUGCCUUGAUUUCAGACUUUUGGCCUCCCACAUUGUGAGAGAAUAAAAUUUUGUUUUUGAAGCCAU
rnacentral:lncRNA from 10 species